rnacentral:rRNA from 1 species
CCUACGGGAGGCAGCAGUGAGGAAUAUUGGUCAAUGGACGGAAGUCUGAACCAGCCAUGCCGCGUGAAGGAAGACGGCUCUAUGAGUUGUAAACUGCUUUUGUACGAGGGUAAACGCAAAUACGCGUAUCUGUCUGACAGUAUCGUACGAAUAAGCAUCGGCUAACUCCGUGCCAGCAGCCGCGGUAAUACGGAGGAUUCAAGCGUUAUCCGGAUUUAUUGGGUUUAAAGGGUGCGUAGGCGGUUGGAUAAGUUAGAGGUUAAAUCCCGCGGCUCAACUUCGGAAUUGCCUUUGAUACUGUUCGGCUAGAGAGUAGUUGGGGUAGGCGGAAUGUAUGGUGUAGCGGUGAAAUGCUUAGAGAUCAUACAGAACACCGAUUGCGAAGGCAGCUUACCAAGCUACUUCUGACGUUGAGGCACGAAAGCGUGGGGAGCAAACAGGAUUAGAUACCCCAGUAGUC